GAUGAACGCUGGCGGCGUGCCUAAUACAUGCAAGUCGAGCGAACAGACGAGGAGCUUGCUCCUCUGACGUUAGCGGCGGACGGGUGAGUAACACGUGGAUAACCUACCUAUAAGACUGGGAUAACUUCGGGAAACCGGAGCUAAUACCGGAUAAUAUAUUGAACCGCAUGGUUCAAUAGUGAAAGACGGUUUUGCUGUCACUUAUAGAUGGAUCCGCGCCGCAUUAGCUAGUUGGUAAGGUAACGGCUUACCAAGGCGACGAUGCGUAGCCGACCUGAGAGGGUGAUAGGCCACACGGGAACUGAGACCCGGUCCAGACUCCUACGGGAGGCAGCAGUAGGGAAUCUUCCGCAAUGGGCGAAAGCCUGACGGAGCAACGCCGCGUGAGUGAUGAAGGUCUUCGGAUCGUAAAACUCUGUUAUUAGGGAAGAACAAAUGUGUAAGUAACUAUGCACGUCUUGACGGUACCUAAUCAGAAAGCCACGGCUAACUACGU
rnacentral:rRNA from 1 species